CCAAACAUGUUGGUUAAACCCCUUCCUUUACUA
rnacentral:tRNA from 1 species